AUUUUCAAGCUUGCUUAGCGAGGCGAUUGUUUCUCUUUCCUCAUAUUAUGCAGCCGCAAUGAAGUGCUCCUGGUGCCUGCUCAUCGUUUGCAUUAUUGUCGCUUUGGACUUGUGGGCCGAGGCCAUCAAGGACAAUCAAGCGGCGGUCUAGCGCAUUCAGGAAGGGCUGACACCGGCAGAGACGUACAAGGACGUGCUUCAUCCGAAAGUAGCACCAAUCCGAUAGUGCAGAAAAUCCAGGACGCGGUGAAACAGGCAAUGUCCAAGAUGACUGGAGGAGGUUCAGGCAAAACAAAUGAGUAGUCGCAGAAGGCCCGCAUACCAGGAAACGAGGGCCGGUUGAGCUCUCGCUGCUUAGCUGCGACUUGCAGCAUUUACCCAUCAACAUUCCUUGCUUAACUAGCGGUAUUUAAACAGCGAAAUUUUCCAACUGAAUAAAACACCGGUAUCCAAGAAAAACCAAACUUUCAUUCAAUGUUGAGUACUCUCCCUCGCAUGAAAAAAAAAAAGUUAUUGAAAAACACACACCCCUUGCAACGAUAACAUCUCAACUUUCACUGGGAAACGAAACAAACCUCACAUAUACAUGAAGCUAACCAAUAUAGUACAAGCAAUUUAAGGAGACACUGCAACUGGACGAGCGAGAUCGUGCAAAAUCAGCUACCACAUACAGGUCCAAAAUGAGGCUGAGAAAUGUGUGCCUUAGUAAUGCAAUGACACUCCAUGAAGCAUUGGUCUUCAAAGCAGCCUUUGCAGACACGGCCAAAUAUUGGAGCAGUGUUAGAUCACUCAAUGCACUUUCCGAGUGACCCUGCAAUGUUGUUUGUCGAAAUAGGUCCUAACCCCCCCAUCUGUAUAUUCCAUCAAUUUGAAGCCCUUAAGUGGAAUACAAUGAAAGAUUUCAAAAAUCAGACAUUUGCAGACCUAUAAUGCUUAGUAUUGUACAUGAAUUACAGUGAAAUUGCAUUUUUUUUUAUCUCGCAUAACACGAAGCGAUGAAGUACACUACUGUUGUGUCAAGCCAUGUUCAAGUUAGUGCAAGCUGCACCCUCAAACAAUUAUAUAACUUUUUUCUUGUUUGUUUGCUUCUUUGUUGUAAAUACUAGGUAUUCAUGUAUGCAUCCCUCACAGAGCUAUAGUAGUGCAUUAUAUUUUCCAGCCCUGUUAUUUGCCAUUAAGCUAAGGCAACGAUUUCAUUUGUUACAUGUUUGCAUGCUGAGGAUAGCUGCUUUUCUAUAUUGAAGUUAUAUUUUACAGCCUGCGCACAAUUACAUAAAAAGGCCCUUAGUAUUUACCCACUUCAUUUGUAUUUGAGCAGCUUGAUCUCUUACAAUGUAUAUGACUUGCACGUCUUACAGGAGGACCCAGAUGAACUUUAUUGUGGUACCUUUUACAACACAUAUAUUGAAGCCCUUGUGCACUUA
rnacentral:lncRNA from 1 species